AGGCUGUUGCUGGUCUCCUCAGGGGGAUUAUGUGCACGCUUGUCUCAUCUUUUGUUAUCUCUCCAACUUUGUGCACCUUUUGUAGACCCUGGAGUUUAUGGAUUUUCUGAAAAUUCGAGUCGGGACUGCUGUGCUUGCCAUGGUCAGCUUUGCCUUGCAUUCUCCAGGUCUAUGUCAUUUUUUCACAAACAAAUAUGUGUUUAGAAUGUUGGAAAUAGAAAUGAAAUAUACAACUUUCAGCAACGGAUCUCUUGGCUCUCGCAUCGAUGAAGAACGCAGCGAAAUGCGAUAAGUAAUGUGAAUUGCAGAAUUCAGUGAAUCAUCGAAUCUUUGAACGCAUCUUGCGCUCCUUGGUAUUCCGAGGAGCAUGCCUGUUUGAGUGUCAUUUUAAAUUCUCAACCACAUCAUCAUGAUGUUGGCUUGGAUGUGGGGGUUUUCUUUUUGCAGGCUUUCUCACAGAAGGUCGGCUCCCCUGAAACAUAUUAGUGGUAUCUGAGGCUACUGCUGUGGGUGUGUGAUAACUAUCUAUGCCCGUGGUAUGCCGCAUGAACAGAUUAUGCUG
rnacentral:rRNA from 1 species